AUGAGUGAAAGUUGAAUGCAAGUGCAACUCUUGAAUUAUUACAUUCCAAUUUAUGGAUAUCAAUAUGUCUCACCCACCCCUAUGUGUCUUAGCAAGGACAAUGAACAAUCUUCAAUUGUACUCCACCACAAGUGGAGCAUAACAAUGAAGAAUCAGAAUCCAUACCCUCCUUACCAUCACUCAUUAACUUCAUAUAUAUAUAUUAUUCUCAUUACACCAUACUGUAGCCUAAAUCCACACAUCAAAGUAAAAUUAAGCCGCUUUUUUCUCUUCUUUUGCUAGAACCGAUUCCUUUAUUUUCGCGUUGUCUUAACCUUAGUGCUCAUUGCCGCGGUCCUUAAUGUGGAAGCCGCCACCCGCUGGUUUUCUUGUGAUAGCAAGAUGGACUCCAGGAUCAUGAAGAGUGCAGGAUGAAUCGUGCAUAAUCGAGCUGUUAACACCUUGCACAUUACUGUUGAUAAAUGCACUCAUUGGAGGAUACGCCAUUGUCCUUCCUUUGUGGCCAUUGUCCAUCUUUGGUUUCCCUUCUCCGCUGCUGCUGCUGCUGCUAUAGCUUCCCCACUGAUUGCCCUCGAACACGUGUUUCUUAUUAGGAGAGCGGAUUGCUUCCAUGAAGGCGCCUUUGUUUUCUCCAGCAAUUGUGAUUACCCUCAUGCCCCCAUGUUCAGAAAUCUUCUUUCGCUGACCUUUUUCCUUUGUUUCUCCGUCUUUUGACGGUUCUUGCUUCCCAUGUUGUGAAAUGCUGGUCUUGACAGCAUCUACAAGAUUUCUCCCUGAAUCGCCGCCAUUGAGCCAGGGCUUAGGCUUAUCAAUGGUUUUUUGAACUAGCACUGUUUUUUGCUCUGCUUCUAAUGGGAUCUUAUCUUCACUUCCUGCAUCAGCUCUUAUCUUGGCAGGUGGUAGGAUCAGAGGAGAAGGUGGUGGAGCAGUGGGCUUAGGCGUAGGUGAUUGAGGUGGGCUUUGAACCGAAGGCUUGAUGGUUCUUGGAGAUGGUUCAGGGAUAGGAACACGAGCCGUAGUGGUGGUCAUGGCAGUUGGCACCGAAGAGGUGAUUGGUGCUGUUUUAGGGGCAGGAGGAGUUGGUACUGGCUUAGAAGCUGGAGACGUUGGGACAGAAGAAGAUGGAGCUGGUUUAGGGGAGGGAGAAGAUGGGAGCGAGGAGGUAGGAGCUGAAACUCUGGGUCUUGGAGAUGAUGGCACCGAAGCAGAGGUAGUGACUGGAGCAACCACUGUGGUGGUUGGAGCCGGAGAAGUGGGCAAUGAAGCGGAAGGGGCAGACGGCCUCGGAGCUGGAGAUGUUGGUACUGAUGCCACGCCUCCACCUGGUACGGAAGCAACGGCAGGCGGUGGUAUGGCAGGAGUGGGUCCUUGAGGUUGAGUUGCUGGAGGGGCAGGCUGAGCAACUGGCCUAAAUGCAGGUCGAGCGAGAGGCGGACGAGGCUGGGGAGGAGCUGGCUCAGGUGUUGAAGUUGCAGCAGGUUCAGGGGCUGGGCGGACAAGUGAAGGCAAACGGAACCAUGGACGAGAUGGGGGAGGUUGAUUUGCCAUUUUUUGUUAUUUUGUAGAGAGGUUUUCUGAUUUAAACUUGACUAAAUGAGAAACAUGGGAAUGAGUACAGAUAGAGAUGGGUAAUGUGUGUGUUUAUUUAUAGCUUCAGCACUUGACUAUGUAGC
rnacentral:misc_RNA from 1 species